CCUACGGGUGGCAGCAGUGAGGAAUAUUGGUCAAUGGACGCAAGCCUGAACCAGCCAUGCCGCGUGCAGGAAGACGGCUCUAUGAGUUGUAAACUGCUUUUGUACGAGGGUAAACUCAGAUAUGCGUAUCUGUCUGCAAGUAUCUUACGAAUAAGGAUCGGCUAACUCCGUGCCAGCAGCCGCGGUAAUACGGAGGAUUCAAGCGUUAUCCGGAUUUAUUGGGGUUAAAGGGUGCGUAGGCGGUCGGAUAAGUUAGAUGUGAAAUCCCGCGGCUCAACCUCGGAAUUGCCUCUGAUACUGUCAGGCUUGAGGGUAGUAGAGGUAGGCGGAAUGCAUGGUGUAGCGGUGAAAUGCUUAGAGAUCACGCAGAACACCGAUUGCGAAGGCAGCUUACCAGGCUACUUCUGACGUUGAGGCACGAAAGCGUGGGGAGCAAACAGGAUUAGAUACCCUGGUAGUC
rnacentral:rRNA from 1 species